rnacentral:rRNA from 1 species
GACGGAGGAUGCAAGCGUUAUCCGGAAUGAUUGGGCGUAAAGCGUCCGCAGGUGGCAGUUCAAGUCUGCUGUCAAAGACCGGGGCUUAACUUCGGAAAGGCAGUGGAAACUGAACAGCUAGAGUAUGGUAGGGGCAGAGGGAAUUCCUGGUGUAGCGGUGAAAUGCGUAGAGAUCAGGAAGAACAUCGGUGGCGAAGGCGCUCUGCUGGACCAUAACUGACACUCAGGGACGAAAGCUAGGGGAGCGAAUGGA